ACGGAAGGCAGCAGUGGGGAAUAUUGCACAAUGGGGGAAACCCUGAUGCAGCAACGCCGCGUGAGUGAUGACGGUCUUCGGAUUGUAAAGCUCUGUCUUUGGGGACGAUAAUGACGGUACCCAAGGAGGAAGCCACGGCUAACUACGUGCCAGCAGCCGCGGUAAUACGUAGGUGGCGAGCGUUGUCCGGAUUUACUGGGCGUAAAGGGGGCGUAGGCGGAUUCUUAAGUGGGAUGUGAAAUACCCGGGCUUAACCUGGGUGCUGCAUUCCAAACUGGGAAUCUAGAGUGCAGGAGGGGAGAGUGGAAUUCCUAGUGUAGCGGUGAAAUGCGUAGAGAUUAGGAAGAACACCAGUGGCGAAGGCGACUCUCUGGACUGUAACUGACGCUGAGGCUCGAAAGCGUGGGGAGCAAACAGGAUUAGAUACCCUGGUA
rnacentral:rRNA from 1 species